AGUUUGAUCCUGGCUCAGGACGAACGCUGGCGGCGUGCUUAACACAUGCAAGUCGAACGGUGAAGCCCUUCGGGGUGGAUCAGUGGCGAACGGGUGAGUAACACGUGGGCAAUCUGCCCUGCACUCUGGGACAAGCCCUGGAAACGGGGUCUAAUACCGGAUAUGACCGUCUUCCGCAUGGUGGACGGUGGAAAGCUCCGGCGGUGCAGGAUGAGCCCGCGGCCUAUCAGCUUGUUGGUGGGGUGAUGGCCUACCAAGGCGACGACGGGUAGCCGGCCUGAGAGGGCGACCGGCCACACUGGGACUGAGACACGGCCCAGACUCCUACGGGAGGCAGCAGUGGGGAAUAUUGGACAAUGGGCGCAAGCCUGAUCCAGCAAUGCCGCGUGUGUGAAGAAGGCCUUCGGGUUGUAAAGCACUUUUAUCAGGAACGAAAUACCACGGGUUAAUAACCUAUGGGGCUGACGGUACCUGAGGAAUAAGCACCGGCUAACUUCGUGCCAGCAGCCGCGGUA
rnacentral:rRNA from 1 species